UCCGGUUUGUCACCGGCAGUCUCCCAUGAGUCCCCAACUUAAUGAUGGCAACAUGGAACGGGGGUUGCGCUCGUUGCGGGACUUAACCCAACAUCUCACGACACGAGCUGACGACAACCAUGCACCACCUGUAUACCUGCCUUGCGGGGAGACCAUUUCUGGCCUUUUCAGGUAUAUGUCAAGCCUUGGUAAGGUUCUUCGCGUUGCAUCGAAUUAAUCCGCAUGCUCCGCCGCUUGUGCGGGCCCCCGUCAAUUCCUUUGAGUUUUAGCCUUGCGGCCGUACUCCCCAGGCGGGGAACUUAAUGCGUUAGCUGCGACACGGAGACCGUGGAAUGGUCCCCACAUCUAGUUCCCAACGUUUACGGCGUGGACUAC
rnacentral:misc_RNA from 1 species